UGGGGAAUAUUGCACAAUGGGCGCAAGCCUGAUGCAGCCAUGCCGCGUGUAUGAAGAAGGCCUUCGGGUUGUAAAGUACUUUCAGCGAGGAGGAAGGCGUUGUGGUUAAUAACCGCAGCGAUUGACGUUACUCGCAGAAGAAGCACCGGCUAACUCCGUGCCAGCAGCCGCGGUAAUACGGAGGGUGCAAGCGUUAAUCGGAAUUACUGGGCGUAAAGCGCACGCAGGCGGUCUGUCAAGUCGGAUGUGAAAUCCCCGGGCUCAACCUGGGAACUGCAUCCGAAACUGGCAGGCUAGAGUCUUGUAGAGGGGGGUAGAAUUCCAGGUGUUGCGGUGAAAUGCGUAGAGAUCUGGAGGAAUACCGGUGGCGAAGGCGGCCCCCUGGACAAAGACUGACGCUCAGGUGCGAAAGCGUGGGGAGCAAACA
rnacentral:rRNA from 1 species